rnacentral:rRNA from 1 species
GCUUGUCUCAAAGAUUAAGCCAUGCAUGUCUAAGUAUAAAUAAUUCUAUACUGUGAAACUGCGAAUGGCUCAUUAUAUCAGUUAUAGUUUAUUUGAUAGUCCCUUACUACUUGGAUAACCGUAGUAACUCUAGAGCUAAUACAUGCGCAAAUUCCCGACUGUCGCAAGGCGGAAAGGAUGUAUUUAUUAGAUCCAACCAGCCCGGUUCGCCGGAGUCCCUGGUGAGUCAUAAUAACUGAACGGAUCGCAUGGCCUUGUGCCGGCGAUGAAUCAUUCAAAUUUCUGCCCUAUCAACUUUCGAUGGUAAGGUAUUGGCUUACCAUGGUUACAACGGGUAACGGGGAAUUAGGGUUCGAUUCCGGAGAGGGGGCCUGAGAAAUGGCCACCACUUCCAAGGAAGGCAGCAGG